rnacentral:misc_RNA from 1 species
AAUCCAGAGAAAUUUUAUAACCAGGCAUAGGGAGAAAAUUUGCACAAGAAAUCAGCAGAGUGAAAUGGGAUUUUUCAAGUUUUAUGGGUGUAUAUGUGGAGAAUAUGAUGGUUCUUGCAUGAUAACUUCUUGAUUAUUGUGGGUGUACCAAUAUCCUAAGGUGCCAGUUGGGUGUAUAACCGUAACUACUAUAGAUUUUAUUUUCUUUCUCAAUUGUAUGUUUCAU